rnacentral:rRNA from 1 species
AGUGAACGCUGGCGGCGUGCCUAACACAUGCAAGUCGAACGCGAAAACCCCGCAAGGGGUUAGUAGAGUGGCAAACGGGUGAGUAACGCGUGGGUGACCUACCUCAGAGUGGGGGAUAACCUUCCGAAAGGAGGGCUAAUACCGCAUGACAUACCGUGGUUGGAUACACGGAUAUCAAAGCCGGGGAUCGCAAGACCUGGCGCUUGGAGAGGGGCCCGCGUCCGAUUAGCUAGUUGGUGAGGCACGGCUCACCAAGGCGACGAUCGGUAUCCGGCCUGAGAGGGCGGACGGACACACUGGGACUGAGACACGGCCCAGACUCCUACGGGAGGCAGCAGUGGGGAAUUGUUCGCAAUGGGCGCAAGCCUGACGACGCAACGCCGCGUGGAGGAUGAAGACCUU